rnacentral:rRNA from 1 species
GACGAACGCUGGCGGCGUGCUUAACACAUGCAAGUCGAACGAUGAAGCCUAGCUUGCUAGGUGGAUUAGUGGCGAACGGGUGAGUAAUACGUGAGUAACCUACCUUUAACUCUGGGAUAAGCCCGGGAAACUGGGUCUAAUACCGGAUACGACCAAUCUCCGCAUGGGGUGUUGGUGGAAAGCGUUAUGUAGUGGUUAUAGAUGGGCCCACGGCCUAUCAGCUUGUUGGUGAGGUAACGGCUCACCAAGGCGACGACGGGUAGCCGGCCUGAGAGGGUGACCGGCCACACUGGGACUGAGACACGGCCCAGACUCCUACGGGAGGCAGCAGUGGGGAAUAUUGCACAAUGGGCGCAAGCCUGAUGCAGCGACGCCGCGUGAGGGAUGACGGCCUUCGGGUUGUAAACCUCUGUUAGCAGGGAAGAAGAGAGAUUGACGGUACCUGCAGAGAAAGCGCCGGCUAACUACGUGCCAGCAGCCGCGGUAAUGCGUAGGGCGCGAGCGUUGUCCGGAAUUAUUGGGCGUAAAGAGCUUGUAGGGCGGUUUGUCGCGUCUGCUGUGAAAGGCCGGGGCUUAACCCCGUGUAUUGCAGUGGGUACGGGCAGACUAGAGUGCAGUAGGGGAGACUGGAAUUCCUGGUGUAGCGGUGGAAUGCGCAGAUAUCAGGAGGAACACCGAUGGCGAAGGCAGGUCUCUGGGCUGUAACUGACGCUGAGAAGCGAAAGCAUGGGGAGCGAACAGGAUUAGAUACCCUGGUAGUCCAUGCCGUAAACGUUGGGCACUAGGUGUGGGGGACAUUCCACGUUUUCCGCGCCGUAGCUAACGCAUUAAGUGCCCCGCCUGGGGAGUACGGCCGCAAGGCUAAAACUCAAAGAAAUUGACGGGGGCCCGCACAAGCGGCGGAGCAUGCGGAUUAAUUCGAUGCAACGCGAAGAACCUUACCAAGGCUUGACAUAUACUGGACCGCAUCAGAGAUGGUGUUUCCCUUCGGGGCUGGUAUACAGGUGGUGCAUGGUUGUCGUCAGCUCGUGUCGUGAGAUGUUGGGUUAAGUCCCGCAACGAGCGCAACCCUCGUUCUAUGUUGCCAGCACGUUAUGGUGGGGACUCAUAGGAGACUGCCGGGGUCAACUCGGAGGAAGGUGGGGAUGACGUCAAAUCAUCAUGCCCCUUAUGUCUUGGGCUUCACGCAUGCUACAAUGGCCGGUACAGAGGGUUGCGAUACUGUGAGGUGGAGCUAAUCCCUAAAAGCCGGUCUCAGUUCGGAUUGGGGUCUGCAACUCGACCCCAUGAAGUCGGAGUCGCUAGUAAUCGCAGAUCAGCAACGCUGCGGUGAAUACGUUCCCGGGCCU